rnacentral:lncRNA from 1 species
GGAAAUACUGGCUGAUACAAUUUCAACAACACCAAAGCCCGCAUAAUAGACGCACAUGCUUAUCGCUCCACCCUAGGUGUCACAUUCUAGAAGGAGCAGAAACGUGAAUGGGCAACCUGACAAAGGGCACCAAAGAGAUGAAGAGCUAAAGGAAUCAGGCAGUGAUCUCCACGGUGUGGGCUCACAAUCCAGACGGAGGGGACGUGAUGUUAGUGGGAUGGCAGCAGUCGACCAAAUACCAAUGUGGCAAGACAAUCGAUUCCCUGAACGAGACCUUUCUCCCACAGAUGGCUACAUCAGGGCAAGAAGAGACGUGACAACACCAAGAGAGCUGGCCUGAAAAAGUAUCAACGAAAUUUCAACCUAAAAGGACCAAUCGAAGGAUAAGCUCCAUUCGACAGCAAGGUCUUUGGGACCUUUGCGAGCAAGACGUGCGUGAUUAGUUAACAACUGGUUGGAAUACAUAUUAAAGUAAGAU